rnacentral:piRNA from 1 species
UUACCUUCUUGUAGGACCUGGAAGCGGC